UGAGGAAUAUUGGUCAAUGGACGCAAGUCUGAACCAGCCAAGUAGCGUGCAGGAUGACGGCCCUAUGGGUUGUAAACUGCUUUUAUAUGGGGAUAAGGUGGGGAACGUGUUCCCUUUUGCAGGUACCAUAUGAAUAAGGACCGGCUAAUUCCGUGCCAGCAGCCGCGGUAAUACGGAAGGUUCGGGCGUUAUCCGGAUUUAUUGGGUUUAAAGGGAGCGUAGGCCGUUUGGUAAGCGUGUUGUGAAAUGUAGGAGCUCAACUUCUAGAUUGCAGCGCGAACUGUCAGACUUGAGUGCGCACAACGUAGGCGGAAUUCAUGGUGUAGCGGUGAAAUGCUUAGAUAUCAUGAAGAACUCCGAUUGCGAAGGCAGCUUACGGGAGCGCAACUGACGCUGAAGCUCGAAGGUGCGGGUAUCGAACAGG
rnacentral:rRNA from 1 species